ACAGUGUUUCGGGGUGGAUUUCACUUUAUUUACAAAAUUGCCACCAACCCUUUGGUGCCAUUCAGAUUGGUAAUUUCUAUUUAUUAACGAAAUUGCCACCGCUUUGCACAGUAGAAGGGCGCCCACUCGUCAAUCAUCGUGGAUUGCUCUGCUUCGACUCCUUUGUCCCGUCCGUUUCCAUUCCCUAUUCUUUCCCUCUUUUUCUCUCCCGACUCUCUCUCGCCCGCUCACCAUCUCACUCCGGGCAGUACAUGCAUGAACUAGAUGAGAAGGCACCAUCUCUUAUGUGCAAAGCGAAGAAGAACUCAGCAGAUUAGAAGAGACGUGCUGAGUCUCACUCCGGCAUUCAGCCCUCCGUUCCUCUCAUGAUCUCUCACACCCUCUCUCUAAUUUCAGAACAAUAUGAAGCAGCUCAAGCUCUCUGUGCAUUGAAUCAAUGGCAGUCAUCUAGAGGUACGGUUUACAUUCUGGAAUUCAUGAUUCAAUUGGAAACCACAAUGACAUAUCAACGUGUGUUGGAUAUUCAUACGAAACAACAACUAAUCCUGGAAGUUUCAAUAACAGCGUCGCUGGCCAGCAGGCGGUACUAGAAACAGUUGCAAGAGUAAAGUCGAAGAAAAAUUAGACGAAAGAUGAAAAGUACAUGCUUCUAACUUAAAUUCAGUUCAGUAUUUCAUAUAUUCUUUGUCAAUUGAAUCUAGCCAUUAUGGCCUGUUCUCACCAACUAUGUUGUAGUAUAAAUUGGUCGUUUCAACUACAUGAUGUUUUCAAUCUGGAUAAUGAUAAUAGAGGAGAAGAUACACCAACACUGAUUGAUCACAAUGACAAUGUCUUCAUAAUAUCAAAUUCUAAAUCAAAAUAUCCAGUGCUGCAACUAGACUUGAGAUUACUAUCAGAUUUGGUGGUCGUUAUUGUAUCUGCAACCUGUGGUGGCAUUGCCUUUGCUUGCGCUGGACAACUGAUCUGAUACAUACAUUCAUAAGUACAUACGCAUGUACUUAUAUUUCCAAACUUAUAGAGAAAACGUAAUGCUAUGAUCGUACUUAAUGUUCAUAUUCUGCUUCCUUCAUACCAAAACUUGACAGCUCAUUAGUGAAUAUUUGCUAGCUGGAUCCGUUAUGGACCUUGGAGGUUUCAACUUCGUCAGUGAAAUGGUUCAAGUAUGUUUUACCCUGCAAUUUUAGUAUCCAAGAAGAAAUUCCAAUUCCAAAAGUGUGCUUAUAUAUAUUCAGGGUAUGGUUGCUUCCUCCUCCAAAACCAAAAGUGUACUAUAUACACUACUAAUUUUGUUAGUACUAGGGAAAUAGUUUAUUUUUCUACUUGUAUGUGUGUGUGUGUGUGUAUAUAUAUAUAUAUGGGUUUGAUUACAAAAUUCUUUAGAUUGAAAAUCAUACUUUAUGUUAUCAUUUACUUGGUACAUGAAGAUGUUUUAUUUUGAAAAUGAAAGGUACACUAUACUUGGAAAAAAAAUCUUGAGACUGUUGGGGUGUGCCUAUGGAUGCUAACUUGGUUCUUAGAGACUGUUUUGCAUUGCUUCUUUCGUUACUACGUUAUAUGAUAUGGAGGACAUAAUUUUUUUAUUUAUCAUUUUGAAGGUUUCCUGGACCCCUGAUUUUUGAAUGUGCAAGUCAUCAAGAGAAAAUCAAGAAUGUAAGCUCAGCUCAAGAAGGUUUAUAUUUUUGCAAGUCCAUUUUUCUUUUGCUGCAAUUAGAUAACUAAACGGUUUUAUAGUCUCAAAUGUAAGCUCAGCUCAAGAAGGAUAAGAACAAAAAUUGACCUUCUAAAACAUACGUAAAGUUUUAUAGUUUCCGGAUACAAAAUGUCCAUAUAAAUAAAAUCUUUUACUGUCAAGUCUUAGUAAUUCUGGUAUAACUAAUUAAUGUCUUUUUCUGGGUUUGUCUGCCAUUAGUGUUAUGAUUUGUUCUAGCUAAUGGACUAUCUGCAAAUGUUAUGGUUUUCAUAGUGGUAUUUAUGUAGUCUUUCUCUCUCAACUGGGUUUUCUCUGUUGCUGGCCCAAUUCACUCUGCUGCAGAUUGUUCCCAUUUUUCACUUUCGUUGAGGUAAAAGCUCAAAUCUGUGUAUUUUUGUGUUCAACAAGUUGGUAGGGCAAAUUGUACUUUGCUCUGCAUAUGAGCAAUGUCUAAGUUUUACCUAUUUUAAUAAUGCUUGGUUUGUACUUCUUGAUUUUUAAUUUGUUUUUUUUUUUGUAUUGAGUUGGACAGACAGUUCAUAGGUUUGGUUCCAUAUUUAUUCAGAGAAGAAGAACACAAAGAGGGCAACGCAAUAACCCUAGCACGAUUAUGACUUUUAAUUAAGCAUGCAUCUUUGGUGUAAUACAAUUAUAUUCUUGAGAUGAAAUUAAUCAAAUGUCCCAGGCUCUACAGUUCCCUCUCGGGGCAACGAGGAUGGGGGUUGAAGUCGAACGCUUGCAUGGGACAAAUUCGAAGAUUAUUCAGUAAGUCACUGAUUAAGUCAGAUUAAACUGCCUUCAUUUCUUUUUGUGUCCAUGGUCUAAUUUUACUUGGAUGAUUUAAUUCUAUGGGAUGAUUUCUUCUAGGUUUUUUCCAUUUUGUAUUUUAAAUAUGUUUUAAGGUUGAAGGAGGGGGCGAUGGAAUUCUGGAUGCUGAAGAGAAGAAGCCUGGUAUUGUUUCUUCUUUCUUUUUAAGUGAGCAUCUCUUUCUUUUCUUCUAACUUUGCUUCUUUCCUUUUGUUGUCGAAUGUUUCAAAAUUUCAACUCACAUGUUCGUGUGCUUUGUUGAGGAGUGUUUUUUGCCAUUACUAGGCCAUUAUUCUGUCUUUUCGAUAAUUGUUUCUUUAUUUUUUUUCGUAUUAUUUUUCGCAAAACCAAAUCAUAUAGCAAAAAGCUUUUUCAAACAGACUUUUUUAAAUCUGUUGCGAAAUGGAUGAUGCAAUAAAAAAAUAUGAUGAGAGUAUCUUUGCACGCUAUAAUAGGUUUUCUUUUUGGCAAGUUUGUGUCUCAUUCGCAUUCAUGAUUCCAUUAUCAUUUACAUUUGCUUCUGCAUGAUUACUCAUAAAUUGGAUAUCAUUGUAUUUUAACUUUUUUAGCCAAGCAAAUGAUUGCAUUGAACAACAGAUGCAUCAAUUACAUGCUGCAAGUGUACGAUGGCUAAAAGGCAUUACGGUGCCUUCAAAUGAUCACUUUGUUUUAUUUUUUUGGAUUUUUGACAGGUUACAUUAGAUUUUAUUAUUGUUUAUUUGAUGAAGUUCUCGAUUAAGAGCAGUUGCACUUGCAUUAUUGUUCAGGACUAGCAACUGUAAUAGUACAGUGUGGCAGAUUGUCUUAUUUACGUCUGAAUUUGAAUGGUUUACUGUAUCAUAUAGGAAAGAUGAAAAGGGAAUAUGAGAUGAUAUUGGAGAAAGCUUUGCAAAGCGUCUGCCUGCUAAAUUCAGAUACCAUAACUUCUGUUAUUGUUUAGGUGAGGUGUUCUGUUUGUAUGAAAAUUUGAGUCUCAAAUAUUUUAAGCGUUGUGUCAACAACUUGAGAUGGUUGUAAAGCAAUGCAUGUAGCGUUGAUACCUUUUACUUUACACGCGUAUUUGUUUCGUUUGAACUAAACUUGCAGUGUACAUAUUUUUGCCAAAGAUAAAUGAAGGCCCUUGGAGCCUGA